CCCCUCUUUCCCCGGCCGCGAUUAUUUUCUACUUGGAGCGCCACGUUUAUUUCUUCAUGGCGGAUCGAACGAUAUAUUCGAUACAUCGAACCGAUCCAAAACGAUAGUAUUGUGUGUAUGAAUGAAUUCUCCACGAAGAAGAUUCGAAGAAGUACAAGGAUGGUGAUCGAAAGAAACAAAAAUGGCGGCACUUCUGAGUUAUAAGGAGCCUCUAUAAAUGAUUACAGUUUACAUUGAAUUGAAGGAGAAUGAAGGAAACCUAACAAGCAACAGGUUGGCACGAUCUCUGUAUGGGGUGGGGAAAUGAGAGAAUAAGAAGAGCUAUGUAAGUACUUAUAGACAGAGAAGCAGAAAACGGGAAAGCAAUCAUCGUUGGAUUUGGUAGGAAUAUCCGUAGAAACGAAAUGCUUAGCACUACGUAAGAACGAUAUCGUGACAAGGAGACCGGAUUGGUCGGUCACCUGUUGCCCGCUAGCUGUGAUUGGUCGGACUCGACAGCGCGUAACGACAGCCAGAGGAAGACAAGUGCAUUGUCGGUUGGUUUAUGAUGGACCAAGAUCAAAAAUAAAUACUAUAAGAAUGUUAAUUUUAUAUAAUUUUGUUAUAUAUAUUUAUAUACAUAUAUAUAUUAUUUGCUUUUCUUUAUGAAAAAAUUAACCAUAUUGAGAUACAAAAUAGAUAUAUGUUUAUUCACAUA